rnacentral:rRNA from 1 species
CGUAGGGUGCAAGCGUUAAUCGGAAUUACUGGGCGUAAAGCGUGCGCAGGCGGCUUUGCAAGACAGAUGUGAAAUCCCCGGGCUCAACCUGGGAACUGCAUUUGUGACUGCAAGGCUAGAGUACGGUAGAGGGGGAUGGAAUUCCGCGUGUAGCAGUGAAAUGCGUAGAUAUGCGGAGGAACACCGAUGGCGAAGGCAAUCCCCUGGACCUGUACUGACGCUCAUGCACGAAAGCGUGGGGAGCAAACAGGAUUAGAUACCCUGGUAGUCCACGCCCUAAACGAUGUCAACUGGUUGUUGGACGGCUUGCUGUUCAGUAACGAAGCUAACGCGUGAAGUUGACCGCCUGGGGAUACGGCCGCAAGGUUG